GUGACCGUAGCUCAAUGGUAGAGCGCCUGCCUGUGGAGCAGGAGGUCGCGGGUUCGACUCCCGUCGGUCACCCA
rnacentral:tRNA from 7 species